UGCCAGCAGCCGCGGUAAGACGGAGGGUGCAAACGUUGUUCGGAAUCACUGGGCAUAAAGCGCGCGUAGGCGGUCCGCUAAGUCAGGUGUGAAAUCCCCCGGCUCAACCGGGGAACUGCAUCUGAUACUGGCGAACUAGAGGAUGGUAGGGGUGAGCGGAACUCCAGGUGGAGCGGUGAAAUGCGUAGAUAUCUGGAGGAACACCGGUGGCGAAAGCGGCUCACUGGGCCAUCUCUGACGCUGAGGCGCGAAAGCUAGGGUAGCAAACGGGAUUAGAUA
rnacentral:rRNA from 1 species